rnacentral:rRNA from 1 species
UGGGGAAUCUUCCGCAAUGGACGAAAGUCUGACGGAGCAACGCCGCGUGAGUGAAGAAGGUCUUCGGAUCGUAAAGCUCUGUUGUACGGGACGAAUGUUGAAGGCGUGAAUAAUGCCAUCAAAUGACGGUACUGUACGAGGAAGCCACGGCUAACUACGUGCCAGCAGCCGCGGUAAUACGUAGGUGGCGAGCGUUGUCCGGAAUUAUUGGGCGUAAAGGGAGCGCAGGUGGGAAGGUAAGUCUGUUUUAAAAGCGUCGGGCUCAACCCGAUGAGGGAACAGAAACUAUUUUUCUUGAGUGCAGGAGAGGAAAGCGGAAUUCCUAGUGUAGCGGUGAAAUGCGUAGAUAUUAGGAGGAACACCAGUGGCGAAGGCGGCUUUCUGGACUGUAACUGACACU